rnacentral:pre_miRNA from 1 species
GGCAUUAGCAUCGUAGAAUUUCUGUAUUUCUACGAAAGCUGGGUCUUGUUUUAAAUUAACUUUGGGUUCCAUGAUUUUAAUUGAAGUUAGACAGAUAUUUCGCGAGCUGCGGCC